rnacentral:rRNA from 1 species
GCUCUUUGUAAAAAAAAUAUAGAGUCACACCUGCUCAAUGAUUAAUUUUAAUUAAAUAGCCGCGGUACCCUGACCGUGCAAAGGUAGCAUAAUCACUUGCCUUUUAAUUGAUGGCUGGCAUGAAUGGUAUGAUGAGAAUAAGACUGUCUCUUUUUUAAUCUAUUGAAACUACCCAUUAGGUGAAAAGGCCUAAAUAAACUUACAAGACAAUAAGACCCUAUCGAGCUUUAAAUAUUUAACUUACUAUAAAACNAAAAUAAAAAAAAGAAUUAUAUUUUUAGUUGGGGCGACUCGGGAACAAAAAAAGCUUCCCCUUAAAAAAAUUAACUUACAAGUAAUGACCCGGAUGAUCCGAUCAAAGAAAAAAGCUACCGUAGGGAUAACAGCGUAAUUUUCUUUGUGAGCUCUUAUUAAAAAGAAAGUUUGCGACCUCGAUGUUGGAUUAAGGUAUCCUAAGGGUGCAGCAGCCUUUAAGGGUUGGUUUGUUCAACCAUUAAAACCUUAC